UGCUCUCUGGGUGACGAGCGGCGGACGGGUGAGUAAUGUCUGGGAAACUGCCUGAUGGAGGGGGAUAACUACUGGAAACGGUAGCUAAUACCGCAUGACGUCGCAAGACCAAAGUGGGGGACCUUCGGGCCUCACGCCAUCGGAUGUGCCCAGAUGGGAUUAGCUAGUAGGUGAGGUAAUGGCUCACCUAGGCGACGAUCCCUAGCUGGUCUGAGAGGAUGACCAGCCACACUGGAACUGAGACACGGUCCAGACUCCUACGGGAGGCAGCAGUGGGGAAUAUUGCACAAUGGGCGCAAGCCUGAUGCAGCCAUGCCGCGUGUGUGAAGAAGGCCUUAGGGUUGUAAAGCACUUUCAGCGAGGAGGAAGGGUAGUGUGUUAAUAGCACAUUGCAUUGACGUUACUCGCAGAAGAAGCACCGGCUAACUCCGUGCCAGCAGCCGCGGUAAUACGGAGGGUGCAAGCGUUAAUCGGAAUUACUGGGCGUAAAGCGCACGCAGGCGGUUUGUUAAGUCAGAUGUGAAAUCCCCGAGCUUAACUUGGGAACUGCAUUUGAAACUGGCAAGCUAGAGUCUUGUAGAGGGGGGUAGAAUUCCAGGUGUAGCGGUGAAAUGCGUAGAGAUCUGGAGGAAUACCGGUGGCGAAGGCG
rnacentral:rRNA from 1 species